GACGAACGCUGGCGGCGUGCUUAACACAUGCAAGUCGAACGAAGUGGCGAACGGGUGAGUAACGCGUAAUCAACCUGCCCUUCAGAGGGGGACAACAGUUGGAAACGACUGCUAAUACCGCAUACUGAAGGAGGGGAUUGCGUCUGAUUAGCUAGUUGGAGGGGUAACGGCCCACCAAGGCGAUGAUCAGUAGCCGGGCUUGGAGGCAGAACGGCCACAUUGGGACGAAGACACGGCCCCGACUCCUACGGGAGGCAGCAUUGGGGAAUCUUCCGAAAUGGACGAAAGUCUGACGGAGCAACGCCGCGUGAGUGAUGACGGCCUUCGGGUUGUAAAGCUCUGUUAAUCGGGACGCGGUACCGGAAUAGAAAGCCACGGCUAACUACGUGCCAGCAGCCGCGGUAAUUC
rnacentral:rRNA from 1 species